GAUGAACGCCGGCGGUGUGCCUAAUACAUGCAAGUCGAGCGCACUGGCCCAAUUGAUAUGACGUGCUUGCACUGAAUUGACGUUGGAUUACCAGUGAGCGGCGGACGGGUGAGUAACACGUGGGCAACCUGCCCUGGAGCGGGGGAUAACAUCUGGAAACAGGUGCUAAUACCGCAUAACAACGAAAACCACAUGGUUUUCGUUUCAAAGAUGGUUUCGGCUAUCACUUCAGGAUGGGCCCGCGGUGCAUUAGCUAGUUGGUAGGGUAACGGCUUACCAAGGCAAUGAUGCAUAGCCGAGUUGAGAGACUGAUCGGCCACAAUGGAACUGAGACACGGUCCAUACUCCUACGGGAGGCAGCAGUAGGGAAUCUUCCACAAUGGGCGCAAGCCUGAUGGAGCAACACCGCGUGAGUGAAGAAGGGUUUCGGCUCGUAAAGCUCUGUUGUUGGAGAAGAACGUGCGUGAGAGUAACUGUUCACGCAGUGACGGUAUCCAACCAGAAAGUCACGGCUAACUACGUGCCAGCAGCCGCGGUAAUACGUAGGUGGCAAGCGUUAUCCGGAUUUAUUGGGCGUAAAGCGAGCGCAGGCGGUUGCUUAGGUCUGAUGUGAAAGCCUUCGGCUUAACCGAAGAAGGGCAUCGGAAACCGGGCGACUUGAGUGCAGAAGAGGACAGUGGAACUCCAUGUGUAGCGGUGGAAUGCGUAGAUAUAUGGAAGAACACCAGUGGCGAAGGCGGCUGUCUGGUCUGCAACUGACGCUGAGGCUCGAAAGCAUGGGUAGCGAACAGG
rnacentral:rRNA from 1 species